GAGUUUGAUCAUGGCUCAGAUUGAACGCUGGCGGCAGGCCUAACACAUGCAAGUCGAGCGGUAGAGAGAAGCUUGCUUCUCUUGAGAGCGGCGGACGGGUGAGUAAUGCCUAGGAAUCUGCCUGGUAGUGGGGGAUAACGCUCGGAAACGGACGCUAAUACCGCAUACGUCCUACGGGAGAAAGCAGGGGACCUUCGGGCCUUGCGCUAUCAGAUGAGCCUAGGUCGGAUUAGCUAGUUGGUGAGGUAAUGGCUCACCAAGGCGACGAUCCGUAACUGGUCUGAGAGGAUGAUCAGUCACACUGGAACUGAGACACGGUCCAGACUCCUACGGGAGGCAGCAGUGGGGAAUAUUGGACAAUGGGCGAAAGCCUGAUCCAGCCAUGCCGCGUGUGUGAGAAGGUCUUCGGAUUGUAAAGCACUUUAAGUUGGGAGGAAGGGCAGUAAAUUAAUACUUUGCUGUUUUGACGUUACCGACAGAAUAAGCACCGGCUAACUCUGUGCCAGCCG
rnacentral:rRNA from 1 species